UCAGAGAGUGGUGGAGCCAUGCGAAAUCCGUUACAGAGAGUGGAGCAGGGUAGUGGCCAUUGUCAUGACUUGCUAGAGAGUUCAGAUCUGUCGGCUGGAGCUCGGCUGGGACAUCUGAUGGAGCGAAAUGGCUCUCUAUCCCGUCGAUCUAGGAGAAGCUUGGAUGUUUUCGAAGCUGCUGACGAGUCUACUAUUGUCGGAUACCUUAGGUGCUGAUACUACAGGUGGGAGUCAUCUGCUGUAGAAGCUCGAAUGGAGACUUUUCGUUGGUGAAGUCCGGUAGGAGUCCGAUUGCUAGAGAAGUCCGUCUGGGAUUUGCCUGAUGUGGAAGCUCG
rnacentral:lncRNA from 1 species